rnacentral:lncRNA from 1 species
UGUGACAGCGAUUGGGAUGAGAUUAUCUCCUUACUGCUGUGCCUGCUGCUGCCACCUUGAUUCGACAAGGCUGUACCGGUCUGAGCAACACACUGUGGAAGGAUUUGUGUUGGCAAAUGGCUAAACACCAUUUAGCAGGGGCAGCACUGCAGAUGGACGGAUGGAUGGAAGCAUCAGGAGACUGCAGUUACCAGCAGGGAGCUCAGCCCUUCAAGCCCAUCAGGACACCGGGAGAACCCUCUCAAGAUCUGAACAACUGGCUGACUUCAAACAUCCGGAGAACACUGUAGCCUCGGCUGAAGGCACGGGCACCUUCCCAGACUAAGAGGAAGCCUUCCCUGUGAUUGCCCACAGCCGGACUGGGACUCUGCCACUUCAACCAUCUCUCUGUGGUUGGGGAAGGGCUCUGCUGUGACCCCACUGCCCCUCAAGGGCUCCACACCGGGGGCAGACCCACAGAGGAGGAGCCCAAGGAGAAGCCCCCAUUUAUUCCCCUGCCUGAGCCGCCCACAGGGAGAGGGCUCGGAGAACAAAGCCGCUUCUCCUGAGAUUUAAUCCAGUCGAAGGGUCUUUUAAAGUUUGUUCGACAGCGACAGAGUCCCUUUGAACUUGGCAUUCACACGGGGUGCCAUUAAAAACAAAAGCCUGUUUACCAGAACACCGUAUCUGAGAUGGAAAACACUGCAAAUACUGCAGGAAGUUAAUAACAUUAAAAAAAAAAAAAGAGAAAAAAAGAAAUAAUAAUAAUAACCCACCUAAGAUUACUUAAAUACCCCCUAUUUUUGUCCAGGAAGGUUUUUCAGGGCUGGUUCCCCUCUCAGUUGGGAAGAAAGUUUCUCAUUUAGAAAGAGGAACCCAAGGGGCAAGGAAGCGCCCGCCGCCAGCUCCUGCAGGCCCCUGCCCUACUGUUUAGCAAUCCCUGCGGGAUGCUAUUCCAUGAACACCCCUAACAACAGGCUGCCUGGGAGCCUAAAUACUUAAAAACAAACUAAGAAGAGCAAUAACUGAAGUGGGGGGGUUAGUACAAGGACUGAGGGACUACUAGGGCACAGCCAUCACUUGCAGAGCUGCACAGCCACGGCUCCACGGUUGGACUUGAUGAUCUUAAAGGGCUUUUCUGACCUAAAUGACUCUAUGAUUCCACCAACACAACUGCUCUGGCUGUAUUUGCUGAAUACUGUCAUAUGAAAUAGAUUCACAUGGUACCUCGUUUAAUUGUAGCUACUGUUUAGGAAAGCAAACGCACAGUCACUGCGGCUGUACGUGUCCUUUGCGGGAAGGGUUUGUCUC